rnacentral:rRNA from 1 species
GCGAGCGGGAACCACCCGACACCAUUCCGAACUCGGCAGUGAAACCGCUCAGCGCCGAUGAUAGUGCGGCAAACGCCGUGCGAAAGUAGGUCAUCGCCAGGC